UGGUCUUGAACUCCCGACCUCUUGAUCCGCCCACCACGGCCUCCCAAAGUGCUGGGGUUACAGGCGUGAGCCACCGCGCCCGGCCGAGAUUCUUUGGCUGUUCUAUGAAGCCCUUGGCACAAUGCUUGACACAUAGUAGGUGCCUGAUAAGUGGAGCAUCUAUUGCUGUUCCCCCUUAGCAUGAUCCCUGGCACAUAGUAGGUAUUCAAUAAAUAGAUACUCUAUUAUUUUGUGAAGCCUUUGGUGCCAGUACCUAGUUGGUGCUUAAUAAAUGGAGCUUCUGUUGCUGUUCCCCUUGGCAUGAUGCCCGCCACGUGGUAGGUGUUUAGUAAAUAAACGCUUUUACUAUUAUUUUGUGAAGCCCUUGGUGCUGGCACAUAGUAGGUCCUUAAUUAUUGGAGCGUCUGUUGCUGUUCUCCUUGGCAUGGUGCCUAGCACAUAGCAGGUGCUUAAUAAAUUGAGCUGCUGGGGCUGCUCCUUUGGCACAUAGUAGGUGUUCAAUAGAUACUUCUAUUUUGUGAAGCGCUUGGUGCUGGCACAUAGUAGGUACCUAAUAGAGCUUCUGUUGCUGUUUCCCUUGGCAUGGUGCCUGGCACAUAGUAGGUGUUCAGCAUAGAUUAUUUUGCUAUCAUCCUAUGAAGCCCUUGGCAGAAUGCUUGACACACAGUAGGGGCCUAAUAAUUGGAGCUGCUGUUGCCGUUCCCCUUGGCAUGGUUCCUGGCACAUAGCAGGUACCUAAUAAUUGGAGCUUCUGUUGCUGCUCCCCGUGGCACGUAGCAGGUGUUAAAUAGAUGCUUUUACUGUUAUUUUGUGAAGCCCUUGUGCUGGCACAUAGUAGGUACCUAACAGCUCUGUUGCCGUUCCCCUGGGCAUGGUGACUGGCACAUAGUAGGUGCCUAGUAAAUGAAGCCUCAGUUGCCAUUCCCCUUGGCAUGGUGCCUGACACAUAGUAGGUGCCUAAUAAAUGGAGCUUCUAUUGCCGUUCCCCUGGGCAUGGUGCCUGGCACAUAGUAGGUACCUAAUGGAGCUUCUGUUGCUGCUCCCCUUGGCACAUAGUAGGUGUUAAAUAGAUGCUUUUACUGUUAUUUUGUGAAGCCCUUGUGCUGCCACAUAGUAAGUACCUAAUAGAGCUGUGUUGCCAUUCUCCUUGGCAUGGUGCCUGGCACAUAGUAGGUGUUUGAAAUGUAGAUUAUUUUGCUAUCAUUCUGUGAAGCCUUUAGCACAAUGCUUGACACAUAGUAGGUGCCUAAUAAUUAGAGCCUCAGUUGCCGUUCCCCUUGGCAUGGUGCCUGGCACAUAGUAGGUGUUCAAUAAAUAGAUGCUUUACUAUCAUGUUGUGAAGCCCUUGGUGCUGGCACAUAACAGGUGCCUAGUAAGUGGAGUUUCUGUUGCUUUUCCCAUUAGCACAGUGUGUGGCACAUAGUAGGUGCCUAAUAAAUGGAGCAUCUAUUGCUGUUCCCCUUGGCAUGGUGCCUGGCACACAGUAGAUACUCAAUAAGUAGAUGCUUUACUAUUUUGUGAAGCCUUUGGUGCUGGCACAUAGUAGGUACCUAAUAAAUGGAGCUUCAGUUGCCGUUCCCUUGGCAUGGUGCCUGGCACAUAGUAGGUGUUCCAUAAACUGAUGCUUUAUUUUGUGAAGCCCUUGGUGCCGGCACAUAAUAGGUGCCUAACAAAAGGGGCUUCUGUUGCUGUUCCCCUUGGCACCAUGCCCAGCACAUAGUAGGUACCUAACAGAAAGGGCUUCUAUUGUUGUUACCCCGUCCAGUUUCUGGCAUGGGGACCGCAGCGGUUUAGUGCCUGAGACCUACUGCGCGCCAUGCAGGUGCAGCCUGGUGAGCACAGCGUUCUUGGCCAGCCCUCCCGGCCCCAUCCCACCUGCCCGCCCGUCCACCGCACAUCACACCUUUGGUUGACACCCGCUUCUUUUGGGUUCGACUUCUCUUUGGUUUGCUUCUGUUUUGUUUGUUAUCAUCUUCUUUUUUAUUUUCUCUUUCCC